rnacentral:rRNA from 1 species
UAGCCUACGGGGGGCAGCAGUGGGGAAUAUUGCACAAUGGGGGGAACCCUGAUGCAGCAAUGCCGCGUGGGUGAAGAAGCACUCCGGUGCGUAAAGCCCUGUCAGCAGGGAAGAAAAUGACAGUACCUGGACAAGAAGCCCCGGCUAACUACGUGCCAGCAGCCGCGGUAAUACGGAGGAUGCGAGCGUUAUCCGGAUUUAUUGGGUUUAAAGGGUGCGUAGGCGGACUGUUAAGUCAGCGGUAAAAGCCCGGGGCUCAACCCCGGCGAGCCGUUGAAACUGGUUGUCUUGAGAUGUCGAGAGGG